rnacentral:rRNA from 1 species
UGCUACGGCCAUACCACCCUGAACACAUCCUGAACGCAUCCAAGCUCAUCUGAUCUCAGAAGCUAAGCAGGGUCAGGACUAAUUAGUACUUGGAUGGGAGACCGCUUGGGAAUACCAGAUGCUGUUCGUAG